GGGACGAACGCUGGCGGCGUGCUUAACACAUGCAAGUCGAGCGGAAAGGCCCUUCGGGGUACUCGAGCGGCGAACGGGUGAGUAACACGUGAGUAACCUGCCCUGGACUUUGGGAUAACCCUCGGAAACGGGGGCUAAUACCGAAUAUUACUUCCCCUCGCAUGGGGGGUGGUGGAAAGUUUUUCGGUCUGGGAUGGGCUCGCGGCCUAUCAGCUUGUUGGUGGGGUGAUGGCCUACCAAGGCGACGACGGGUAGCC
rnacentral:rRNA from 1 species